GCAAUCACAGUUUUGCAACAAUUCUGCAUCUGUAAAGGUAUAAAAGAGAAGCUCAACAUCCAAAGAGCAACACUACAUCCUCUUCUCUUGUCUCUGAGAAAACCUACUGAAGGUAAAAUCACUGCAACCAUGCUGAAGGUAGCACUUAUUCUUGGAUGCCUCCUGAGCCUCAUUGUGGCUGAAACUAUGGAAGAACAGCGUUUUGCUCGUUCAAGCUCUGGUUCUAACUCCAGAGAGGUGAG